rnacentral:lncRNA from 1 species
CUCCUCCGCAAGGCCCAGGUCGAGGAGUUCUACGUCAUCACCUGGACCUCCCCCAAGGAGCAGGUGUUCGAGAUGCCCACCGGCGGCGCCGCCAUCAUGCGCGAGGGCCCCAACCUCCUCAAGCUCGCCCGCAAGGAGCAGUGCCUCGCCCUCGGCAACCGCCUCCGCUCCAAGUACAAGAUCGCCUACCAGUUCUACCGCGUCUUCCCCAACGGCGAGGUGCAGUACCUCCACCCCAAGGACGGCGUCUACCCGGAGAAGGUCAACGCCGGCAGGCAGGGCGUGGGGCAGAACUUCCGCAGCAUCGGCAAGAACGUCAGCCCCAUCGAGGUCAAGUUCACCGGCAAGAACUCCUUCGACAUCUAAUCUCGUACGUCGUAUAUGCGUACGUGCUAGUUCAUCGACCGGUAGUUAUUGGCGGGUGGCGAUGAUGAUGGACGUCCUGUAAUUUUAAUUGUCGAGUUUGAAUGAUGGAUUCGAUCGGUGAUAAUGAUGCAUCAGGUUAUAUGUACAUGGUAAUUUGAUGAUGAUACUGCUGUAUGUUAACGUUGUUCAUAUGCAUGAUCGGCUUCUUUUUAUGUUGAUGAUGAGUAGUAUUUUGUUUGUUACACGCGUACACGCUUUUUUGUCGUUUUGGCCAGAGAUGAAGCAUACGAUGUUUAAACCAUUCAACCUAGCACAUAAGCACGGUAACCCGUGUGGGCAACGCCUUCUCUACGUAUUGUUUUUGUGAAAGUAAUUACUGAAGAUAAGAUUUAUGCUAAAUCAGUU